UUACGAGUUAUUAACAGACUAUAUAGAUAUUAUGUAUUUUAUGCAAUGCUGUCAUGCCUAGUGAUCUAGCAAUUUAUUUCAUUGUCCAUCCCAGCUAAAAUUAUCUCUAAUUAUUUGACGAACAUUUUUUUAGUGAAUUUGAAUAUAAAUUUUUGAAAAUUCUUUGAAAUAUUUCCUCUAUAUAUUUUUAAAACUAAAAAUAUUUUUCUAAGUAUUGUGUCAUCAUAUUUGUUUUUUAUUUCAUGUUUCAAAUUAACAUAGUCCUAUUUACUUCCAAAAAGAAAAAAAUAAUCAUAAGUAAUCAAAUAUGUUUCAACUGUUAGCACACCACAUUAACAUGCAAAGAACUAGACUAACAGAAAGGUUAGAAUUACAGAUUUAUGCUAAUUGAUUGCUUAUUAAUAUUGUCGAAACGAUUUAGUCACAGUUGGCUAACAGAUACUACGCCAUUUCUAGCGCUUAGAAGUAUUAAACGGACGUGCAAGAAUGUUACUUUAAUUGACACUACUUUAAUCUUACUUCGAAUAUUACGAUUGAAUUCUAUUUGUUUGUUAGUCUAAUUACAAUGCCGAUUGAAAUUUUUCCAUUUUACUGAUUCAGCGAAUGAUUAACACAUUGCGAAAUAAUAAUUGUUCACCGAGAUACCGAAAGAAUGCGAAUAAGAAGUAGAAACUUGCUAAGAAUCAUCGUUAUUUUCCAACGUGUUUCCCAAUGUCUGUCUUCUUUUUAGAGUAAAUAUUGUAUCUCGGUAGCCUUCACGACGUAAAAACCGCAAGUAUUUUGUAAAUUCUGCAAGCAUCUAAAUUUUAAAGAAUGUAUUCGUAAAUUUAACGCGUGAACCUUUCACCACAACAAUCAUUAUAUAACAUCUAUAAUUAUCAGUGAAUUUCCGUAUAAAGUAUUGAAGGUUUAUGUAAAUGAUAUAAAUCAUUGAAUUAACAGUUUAAUUAAUACUGUUAGUUGAUCAUUUGCUUACAAUAACAUUUUAAAUAAUUUAUUUAUUCUUGAAGUUGAUAAUUAAUCUUUUAAACAAAAAUUAAAAUCUAAUGUAUUAUUUUAUUUACUUUUUUUGCAAUUUAUAUCUUAUGGUAUCUUUAAUAUAUCAAAUAAUAAAAACUUUCUAGAAAAUCAAUAUUAAUGAUGAAACUGAUUAAUAAACUUGAUCAUUAUAUAAUUGCAAAACUAUUGCAAACUAACAUGAAUAAAUAUACAUACCUACAUCACAGCGAAUGUUUGUAGGCUUGAAAAUCAACGGCCUUGUCGUGCUUUUAUGUCGACGUAGUUUCACAUCCUCUGUGAAACAUCAGUUGCAUUCGCGACUGAAAAUUCAUGUCAUGGCCCAUUUUUUUCCUUCACUUUCAUUGACGUUAUCUGGCCAAAUUCGGUUUGAUUUUCCAUUGAAUUAUAUUGUCACAAUAUAACACGUAAUUCGUUAAUUCCUUUUAUUCUUUGUUCAUUUCCUCUUUACUCAUCUCUUUGAUAAUUCCAGACACGAAGUAUUCACGGUCACAAUCAACCUUCGUCGAAAGAGUUUUCACUUCGAAUUGCAUCAAUAGAACAAUGUCUUUUCUUGAAUGUAAGAAGAAAACAUGAUAAAAAAUCAAAUAUGUUUAAUCAAAUUUAUUAAAAAAAUGCUUAUAUAACGUGCUCGAAAUAAACUUAUAUCAAAGUGCAUUGUGAAUUACAUAAAUAGUAUAGAUGACUAAUGUAGAAUCAUACUUAUGAACAGAAGAUGAAUUGUUCGAUAAAGAUAAAUUUUGCUGCGCAUGACAUUGACAAGAAAUUUGUCGAAUUCAUCUAUUGGUAAUCCGUUGUUGGAAUCGACAGCCUACCAUUUAUUUGGACAUUUCUUUCCCAUCGUUACCUUUGUCCAUUCCUCACCAAAAGACGAUUCUUUUCCAUCUAAACUUCUAACUUUUAUACAAAACUAAAAGUUCAAUGAUCUCAAGACAACGAUCUUCAUCCUUGAUAGCAUCAAAUUAAAUAUAUAUUAUAAAUUAAAUAUAUAUUAAAUAUAUAUUAAAUAUAAAUUCAUAAAUCUUAACAAAGUUUCUCUAUUAAAACUCACCAACUUGUUUCUUGGACAAAAUAGAAAUAAGAAAAUUUCCAUUUUAUAAUUUUUUUAUAUUUUUUAUAUCCAUAAUAAAUGUUCUUGCUCUUAAAUGAAAAAUAUAAAUCAACUUAUAUUAUACAUAUAUAGUAAUAUCUUUAAUAAUCAUCUUAAAUACAAUUUAAAUAAAUAUACCAGAAAUAAAUGCUAAUAAUAUAUGUAUAGGAUAAUAAAAAUCUUUAUCAAUGUAUUAUAGCUUGUAUUAAAGGUGAAAGACGAUGAAUAAUAAUUCAUGAAUCCAAAUGUUGGACCUUAUUCUGUCAUAACUAACAUGCAAGCCACAAACGGGUGAAAUGGGAAGUGGUCCGGGAAAUAAGUCAGGCUGAUUUAACGAGCAUAAAUGUGCGAGUUAGCAUAUCGGCAAAGGCUGCGCCCUGCGCAUCCGUUUCCCAAUGGCCUACUAAAAUCCACGCUCACUCUCUUUGUGUGUCGACGAUGAAAAUAACCCCAUCAACGUAGGAAGAGAAGCUAGGUUUACGGAUUAGAAACAUGAAAAGGAAGGCAGGCUGAAAGAACGAUAGUGUUGCUAUCAAUAAGACCAAGGAAAAGAAAUUGAUUCGAUUGAAAUCGAUUCGAUCAUAGAAUCAUUUUUUUUAUCGUUCCCAAUCUUUCUCUAAUGGAUAUUAUACGAACUACAGGCAUUAUAUUUUGCCAAUAGAAGUGGCAAUUGAAGAAUAAUACUCGUUACGACUGUUUUUUAAUAUAUUUAAUAUAUUUCAUAAAUUUUAAUCAAAGGUUUGUCAGUAAUUUGUCAUUUAUUCUAACCUAAAAAAAUUUAUGAUAAAUUUCUUACAUCAAAAAUUAAAAUUAAUUACGUGAGUAAAAUGAUUAUAUCUCUUUAUUUUGUUCAUUAUGUAAUUGAAUUAGAGGUUCCCUCUUUGAUACAAACUUUCCUUUUCAGACACACCGGAUUACCUUUGAUUUUAAGCACUCAAAACCGUGAAAUCGUUGAUCAUUGAUUAAAGCAUCGAUUUGUAUUGAACUGAGACUAACAUGCAAGAAUUGUGCUUCCGGUAUUUUCAAACCACUGAGCUUUUCGUAUGUGUUCCAAGUGUCAAGCAAAAACUAAAAAAGCUAGCAAAUUUGUUCGAAUUCGUGUCAACUUUACUUUUUCGCAUCAUAGAUGCGUAAUUUUAUUAGCCUGAAAAGAUGGCAACAACCACGAGAAUAAAGAGUGAUUUCUAAAUAGUGAUUGUUAGUAUUAGAAAAUUUUAAAUAAUAAUAAAAAUGAUGUUAAGCAACUUAUAAAUCACAUGAAUUGAUUGAAUUAAAUUUUCAAAUGAUAUGCUUCAUAUCAUUUAUAUAUACAUAUAUUUUUAAAUAUAUAUUUUUAUUGUAAUUGUUCUUCUAUUCUAAUCUUUAUAAUGUUAAGAAAUAAUAGAAAUAUAUAAUUUUUGAUUCAUAUGACCAGCAGAAGAAUUUUUCUGACAUUCCUGAUUCUAAUUCAAGUUGUGAUGUCAGACAUCAUGAAAAUUGAAGCGAAAGCUUCGCAAUAAUAUUCUUAGUACGAAUGUGAUAUUUAUAAAAGAGAAUAAUGAUGAACAUGGUAUCAUUUGAUACAAAAUUUUAUUUGAUUGUCAAUUAUAUUUGUCAGUCAUUAGUUUCAUGAACUAUAAAAGAUUUAUCCAAACGAGACCAGAAAAAAAAAAGUAAAAGUAGGACAGAUGACGCCUUCGGGUAGAAUUGUUUUCAUUUACGAUUCAACUUAUUUCACACUCAAUUAACGAUUACGACUAUUAACUCUCUGUAUGGAAGUUUUUCAUAAGCGGGUAUGUUCUUCUUUAAUGAAUUUAUAUGUUAAUUAUAUAUUAUAUAUAAUUAUAUAUUAAAUCUUUUUUAAUGAAUAAUUUCUAAUUUUCUUCCUAGUAUCUUAUAAAAACUAAAAUUAUGUUUGAAAUUUUUUACAAGCUAUAUAGAUAUGAAUCCAGUAAUACUUUUUUAUGCUUAAAAGAAGUUAACUAUUGAAACGUUUACAUUUUUCUCGUCAUAUAAGAAAAAUACUAGUCAAGAGACUGUCUAACUAGCUGGUGAUAAUAUGAUAAAUGGACACGUUAGCAAAGUUAAGCGUGUUAACUCCGAUUGGAUCAUUACUGCUUCGAAGCUCAAAAAGAAAAGAGGUUUCGAUGCUUCCAGAGAUUUUCACGCUCCAUCAGGGAACGCAGACUGUUUAAUCAAAUUGAACGAUGUUUCGUGGGAGAUUGUGUAACGCACAGGAAAUAUUCAGUGAAUUCUAAUUUUGAGACAGUUGGAUAAACGCCCAGUAAAUAAAUUAAAAAAUCUUCAUCGAUCGUUAAUUUCAUUUCUUUUAAAUCUUUAUCUCAUUCUUAAAUACAAUUAUAGAAUGUAAAACUUUCGACAAAUGGAAUAAAUUUUUAACUACUGGAAUAAAAUAUUUGGAACAUAUUACUAAA